rnacentral:rRNA from 1 species
UUAUGUGAUCGUCUCUCGCAUAUCAAUAAGCGGAGGAAAAGAAACUAACAAGGAUUCCCCUAGUAACGGCGAGUGAAGCGGGAAGAGCUCAAAUUUGAAAUCUUAAAGGGUUUCCCUUCACGAAUUGUAGUUUAAAGAAGUGUUUUCUGUUGAGGUUUUGGUAAAAGUUCUUUGGAAUAGGACAUCAUAGAGGGUGAGAAUCCCGUAUUUGACCUUUACUUUCAACUUUGUGAUACACUUUCAAAGAGUCGGAUUGUUUGGGAAUGCAGUCCAAAAUGGGUGGUAAAUUUCAUCUAAAGCUAAGUAUUGGCGAGAGACCGAUAGCGAACAAGUACCGUGAGGGAAAGAUGAAAAGAACUUUGAAAAGAGAGUUAAACAGUACGUGAAAUUGUCAAAGGGAAGCGUUUGACACCAGUGUUGUUUUUCUGAAAAUCAAUUAAAGAACUGUUUAUGCUAAGUUGUUUAGACUUUAUCAGCUAACUGUUUAGUUUUGAGCUUUUCUUUAAUGCACUUUUCAGUUAACAAGUCAACAUCAAUUUCUUUUGCUGUAAAAAAGCUUGAGGAAGGUGGCUUGAGAUUCGUCUUAAGUGUUUAUAGCCUCUUGCCUAUGCAGUCGGAGAGAUUGAGGUCUGCAGCGUAGAUCCUCCGGGCUAAAUGCAUUUGUGCUAAGUUAUAGCAUUUUAUAGACAACUUGUUGACUAUGAUUUGUCUUGUAGCUUACUCGCUUAUGUUAUUUUACCUACGCUUAGGAUGUUGAAGAUAUGCGCGACACG